AACCUUCAAGUUUAUAACAUCUUUUUUUCCUCUCAAGUUGUAUCUUAUAAUAUGAUAAUAGUUGUGGAUCAAGGGAGGAAGCAACAUAACAUCAAAAGAGCAAGAGUUCUGGCACCCAGAGCAUGUUCCUUCACCCUUCUAGAAUAUUCUUAUGUGGAGUGCUGUUACCUUACAUGAUGCCGUGAAGACCAAAUGAGAAGGCAAGUGUUGUUGAUGUUUGGAAAGGAUAAAGACUUGAGCAAGUUUUCACCUGUGGGAGGCAAUAAAAAGGACAUCCAAGAUGAAGAGGUCAGAAGGCCUUUCAAGAUGUUCCUCAGAUGUUCCCUGCUGGUCUGUGAAGAGCGCAAUUCCCUCAUGCCAAUCUUUAUGGCUAACAAUAUUGCAGUCGCUUUUAGUGACUGGAACACUAGCUUAUAAAAUGUAUACCGCGAGGGCCACCAUCACAGACAAGCAGCUUGGCCCACAGACAUUUGCAGCUACUCCUUUCAUCAGAGAAGACUUCAAACCCACCAGUGCUGUGCAGGGAAAUGGCUCCCUAUGUUCCCUUCCUCUUUCUUUGUGCUUCUGUGAACAGGAUUGGUUCUUGUUCAAGCUUCUGGUUUUACUGUGUUAGAGGGCUCGGAUUACCACAGAGAAUAAAGACCAAAAAGCUCUUUCAGUA